AUUGAACGCUGGCGGCAGGCCUAACACAUGCAAGUCGAGCGGAUGAGAAGAGCUUGCUCUUCGAUUCAGCGGCGGACGGGUGAGUAAUACCUAGGAAUCUGCCUGGUAGUGGGGGACAACGUUUCGAAAGGAACGCUAAUACCGCAUACGUCCUACGGGAGAAAGCAGGGGACCUUCGGGCCUUGCGCUAUCAGAUGAGCCUAGGUCGGAUUAGCUAGUUGGUGAGGUAAUGGCUCACCAAGGCUACGAUCCGUAACUGGUCUGAGAGGAUGAUCAGUCACACUGGAACUGAGACACGGUCCAGACUCCUACGGGAGGCAGCAGUGGGGAAUAUUGGACAAUGGGCGAAAGCCUGACGCAGCCAUGCCGCGUGAAUGAUGAAGGUCUUAGGAUUGUAAAAUUCUUUCACCGGGGACGAUAAUGACGGUACCCGGAGAAGAAGCCCCGGCUAACUUCGUGCCAGCAGCCGCGGUAAUACGAAGGGGGCUAGCGUUGCUCGGAAUUACUGGGCGUAAAGGGCGCGUAGGCGGACAUUUAAGUCAGGGGUGAAAUCCCAGAGCUCAACUCUGGAACUGCCUUUGAUACUGGGUGUCUUGAGUGUGAGAGAGGUAUGUGGAACUCCGAGUGUAGAGGUGAAAUUCGUAGAUAUUCGGAAGAACACCAGUGGCGAAGGCGACAUACUGGCUCAUUACUGACGCUGAGGCGCGAAAGCGUGGGGAGCAAACAGGAUUAGAUACCCUGGUAGUCCACGCCGUAAACGAUGAUUGCUAGUUGUCGGGCUGCAUGCAGUUCGGUGACGCAGCUAACGCAUUAAGCAAUCCGCCUGGGGAGUACGGUCGCAAGAUUA
rnacentral:rRNA from 1 species